UGGUACAUGGAGAAAGGAGAGAGAUAUGAGGUGCAUCAAAGACCCUAACACACAGUGAGACCGAGAGUGAGAGCCAGAGCAAGAGAUCCCAACAAUGGCGACACGUUUCAAGGAGAAAGGAGAGAAACCUGUAACUCCUCUCUCUUCUCAGAAACCCAAAAAUCAAAACCAAAUCCUUCCCCCAAGAUCAAAAUCCAAAACUUAGAUGAGAAAGAAGUAAGCGAUCAGAGGUGCCAUUCUCACGCAAUCCCCGAUUCUCUCAUACAAUGGCGACCAAUUCAUCAGACCAACUCAACUUCAACCCUACCACUACUACAGAAGAAAACCCAAAACAAACCCUAGACGACAACAUUGUACUAAGGUAUUGCUCUCUCUAUCUCUCCGUGUGUGUUUGUUUUCUGUUUGGGUACUGAGAAAGUGUGUGAAAAUUAAAAGUUUUGAGUUUUUAGAUAUGGUUUUUGAUUGGUUGUGAUGGGGAUUUCGUUUAUUAGGUUUUGAGAAAAUGAGGAAAAGAAAAUAAAUUUCAAUUCAGAAAUCUUAGAUUUUUUUAAAAUUAAUUUAGAGGGGAAUAAAACUAUUUAGUUUUGUUGUGAUAAAGUUUUGGUACCUCCCUGAUAUGGUUCUCUGGCUUAUUUCCUAUUUGGAUUAUUCAUAUUUUAUGAUUUUCUUGAUAUUCAUCUAUUUCUAAAUGGAUUUGUUGAAAAAUUGGCCUUAUACAGAGAGUUUGGCUGCAUAAAAGAACGGGUGGAGGGCGAAAAGAGUUGGAAUUUGUCAUGUAAUUGCUGCUAUAAUUAUUGUUUCUUUGUGUAUUACUGUUUUUUCCUGUUAUGCAUGUUUUGAUCUCAUGUUGGAUUGAUAAGAAGUUGUGAUUGUCAAUUAACCAUCUUCUAUUGCAUUUAUUUCUAAAUGAAUUUCCUUUUCGUUUGUUACUGACUGAUUGGUUAUUACUAAAAAAAAAAGAAAAAAAAAGAAGAAGAGAACAAAGUCAGUAUUAGGUAGACUUCCCAUUAGCGACAAUCCUCCCACCAUCAUCAUGUCAGAACCACUACUGAAUAGUUUCUCUCUUCAUUUUUUAGUUUGUUCAUUAAAUAUGAUCAUAAUUUGAUAUUUUAUUUGGAGUGGUUUCGAUUUAGGUCAUUUCAGUUUAUGCAUUAAAUUUGAUCAAGUGUUUUUAUAUUUGUUUGGAUUGGUUUCAGUUUAGGUCUUUGUGUCUCUUUUGCCAAUGGUUGCCAUAUUUUAAAAGAAGAAAAGGAAGAAAAAAGCCUUCAGUUGAGAUAAUGAACCCAUUAAGAAUUUUUCAAUCACAUAGAGAGCAGAGUAUUUUUGAUCUUUUCAAUUUCUUUUACACUUCUUGAAUGAGCAUUCCUGGCCAAGAGUUUCCAAUCGUUCCAUUCAGCGUUUAUUUAUUUAACUCUCUCUUGGAUUCAAUUGUGAAUUUCAUUUGUCAUUGAUUGAUUUCUAUUCCAAAUCUGUGUAAUAAAAAAUUAAAGGGUUUUUCUUUAACUUUUCUUUUCUAGGUUUGUAGGUGAAAAGACAAAUCCUUGGAAGCAAUCUGAGUAAAAAUAGUACUACCAAGAUUGAAACAGUUCAGGGCCGGCUGUUAUGUGAUUAAUUUUACAAUCUGCAUACUAUGCUAUUAACCACAUCUAUGCUGUUGGAUGCCACUUCUCUUUGUACAACAAUCUGUCACUAAACAGGUAACUAUCGAUUGUCAUUCACAUGGGCAACAAAGCUCUACAUCAACUUUGACAUUGACAUUCCAAAAGUCACAAAGGAAAUUAAGCCCAAAGGACCUCCUAAAGGGCUGGAUGGAUAACUUUCUUCCAUCAUAGAAAAAUAGUUGCUGAAAUAGAAGACUUGGAAGCAUAAAAAAUGCUUAAGAAUUAUGCACCAAGUUCUAUUCUCCUUACCCUUUUCUUAUUUACUUAAUUUUCUGUUUUAUUUCAAAUUAUGAGAGAUUUAAUUUUCUGUAUUUAGGCUAUGGUUUUGUAAUCUGAGCAUCCUAAGACUCUUAUAUCAACAUGAAUUUAAGUUUUGUAAUAUAUGUGAUUCUAAUUUUGAACU